rnacentral:rRNA from 1 species
UACGUGGGGAGCGAGCGUUGUUCGGAAUUACUGGGCGUAAAGCGCGUGUAGGCGGCCUAUUAUGUCAGGUGUGAAAGCCCUCGGCCUAACCGAGGAAGUGCGCCUGAAACUGCUAGGCUUGAGUACGAGAGAGGAGGACGGAAUUCCCAGUGUAGAGGUGAAAUUCGUAGAUAUUGGGAGGAACUCCGGCGGCGAAAGCGGUUCUCUGGUUCGAUACUGACGCUAAGACGCGAAAGCGUGGGGAGCAAACAGG